GGGGGGGGGCCUACCAUGCAGUCGAACGGCAGCACAGAAGAGCUUGCUCUUUGGGUGGCGAGUGGCGGACGGGUGAGUAAUGUCUGGGAAACUGCCCGAUGGAGGGGGAUAACUACUGGAAACGGUAGCUAAUACCGCAUAACGUCGCAAGACCAAAGUGGGGGACCUUCGGGCCUCACACCAUCGGAUGUGCCCAGAUGGGAUUAGCUAGUAGGUGGGGUAAUGGCUCACCUAGGCGACGAUCCCUAGCUGGUCUGAGAGGAUGACCAGCCACACUGGAACUGAGACACGGUCCAGACUCCUACGGGAGGCAGCAGUGGGGAAUAUUGCACAAUGGGCGCAAGCCUGAUGCAGCCAUGCCGCGUGUAUGAAGAAGGCCUUCGGGUUGUAAAGUACUUUCAGCGGGGAGGAAGGCGGUGAGGUUAAUAACCUCGCCGAUUGACGUUACCCGCAGAAGAAGCACCGGCUAACUCCGUGCCAGCAGCCGCGGUAAUACGGAGGGUGCAAGCGUUAAUCGGAAUUACUGGGCGUAAAGCGCACGCAGGCGGUCUGUUAAGUCAGAUGUGAAAUCCCCGGGCUUAACCUGGGAACUGCAUUUGAAACUGGCAGGCUUGAGUCUCGUAGAGGGGGGUAGAAUUCCAGGUGUAGCGGUGAAAUGCGUAGAGAUCUGGAGGAAUACCGGUGGCGAAGGCGGCCCCCUGGACGAAGACUGACGCUCAGGUGCGAAAGCGUGGGGAGCAAACAGGAUUAG
rnacentral:rRNA from 1 species